UUGCUUUGGCAGCUCAUAUACUAAAAUUAAAAUGAUUUAGAGAAGAUUAUCCUGGUUCUGUGAAAGGAUGACAUAUAAAUUCAUGAAGAAUUUCAUAUUAAG